CCGACCUUAGCUCAGUUGGUAGAGCGGAGGACUGUAGUUAGAAGCAGAUAAUCCUUAGGUCGCUGGUUCGAAUCCGGCAGGUCGGA